rnacentral:lncRNA from 12 species
AUGGUGAGUCGGGGGUGUGGCUACUGUAGCAGGCUGGGUUUGGGGCGUGGCAACUGUAGAAUGUUGAGUAGUGGGUGUGGCUACUGUAGCAGACUGGGUUUUGGGCGUGGCAUCUGUAGAAUGGUGAGUUGUGGGUGUGGGUUCUGUAGCAGGCUGGGUUUGGGGCGUGGCUUCUGUAGAAUGUUGAGUUGUGGGUGUGGCUACUGUAACAGGCUGGGUUUGGGGCGCGGCUACUGUAGCAUGCUGGGUUUGGGGCGUGGCAUCGGUAGAAUGUUGAGAUGUGGGUGUGGCAUGUGUAGAAUGUUGAGUAGUGGGUGUGGCUACUGUAGCAGACUGGGUUUGGGGCGUGGCAUCUGUAGAAUGUUGAGAUGUGGGUGUGGCUACUGUAGAAUGUUGAGUUGUGGGUGUGGCAACUGUAGAAUGUUGAGUAGUGUGUGUGGCUACUGUAGCAGACUGGGUUUUGGGCGUGGCAUCUGUAGAAUGGUGAGUUGUGGGUGUGGGUUCUGUAGCAGGCUGGGUUUGGGGCGUGGCAUCUGUAGAAUGUUGAGAUGUGGGUGUGGCAACUGUAGACUGUUGAGUAGUGGGUGUGGCUACUGUAGCCGACUGGGUUUGGGUCAUGGCAUCUGUAGAAUGUUGAGUCGUGGGUGGGGCUACUGUAGCAGACUGGGUUUGGGGCGUGGCAUCUGUAGAAUGGUGAGUCGUGGGUGUGGCUACUGUAGCAGGCUGGGUUUGGGGCGUGGCAUCUGUAGAAUGUUGGAUCGUGGGUGUGGCUACUGUAGCAUACUGGGUUGGAGGCGUGGCAUCUGUAGAAUGUUGAGUAGUGGGUGUGGCUACUGUAGCAGACUGGGUUUGGGGCGUGGCAACUGUAGAAUGUUGAGUAGUGGGUGUGGCUACUGUAGCAGACUGGGUUUUGGGCGUGGCAUCUGUAGAAUGGUGAGUUGUGGGUGUGGGUUCUGUAGCAGGCUGGGUUUGGGGCGUGGCAUCUGUAGAAUGUUGAAUCGUGGGUGUGGCUACUGUAGCAUACUGGGUUUGAGGCGUGGCAUCUGUAGAAUGUUGAGUCGUGGGUGUGGCUACUGUAGCAUACUGGGUUUGAGGCGUGGCAUCUGUAGAAUGUUGAGUCGUGGGUGUGGCUACUGUAGACUGCUGGGUUUGGGGUGUGGGUACUGUAGCAGACUGGGUUUGGGGCGUGGCUACUGUAGAAUGUUGAGUAGUGGGUGUGGCUACUGUAGCAGGCUGGGUUUGGGGUGUAGCUACUGUAGUAGACUGAGUUUGGGGAUUCAAUCGAGAUGA